AGUGAAUUCAAAUCUACCUCACUCCCAGACCUCAUGAAACCAACUGAUCUAAUUUCUGUCACUAAAGACAAUUCUAAUACUGCAUGUAUUAAGACGAAGGAGGAGGAAGGUUGGAGAAGAGGGUAAAGGAAGAGGAGAAAGAAGAAAGGAAAGAAAAACUAAGACGCUAUUUUAAAUAAGAGGCAAACCAAGAGAAAACUAUCUUACCAGAUUACAUUCCCAAAAGUGAGCUCUGCCAUCACAAUGCAAAGCUGCUUAUUUGCAGUGUUCAUUUUCACUUAAGGGCAGUCCAGAGUGGCACAUCAAAGAAGAUCUGAUGCCAGAACUCCACCAUCAGAAACAGCAAAGCCCUUCCCUGUCCUGGACAGGAUCCCCAGGUGCCUACUCUCUUCAGUGCUCACCUGACUCUUCCUUCUCAUGAAGAGGCUCAUUUAUGCUUCCGGAUUGAAACUUCUCAUUAUCUCGGACCAUUGAAAGUAGAUGAGAGUGAUAAAAACAAGAAAGAACUAAUGAAAUUCUAUUUACCUUCCAAG
rnacentral:lncRNA from 1 species